GGCUGGUCUGACGGCAGUGAGUUAUCUCAACUGAUUGUUCACAGUCAGCUACAGAUUGAACUUUUUGUUCUUCCCUUCUCACUAUUGCACCUGUCAAAA
rnacentral:Y_RNA from 1 species